CCCCAGACUCCUACGGGAGGCAGCAGUGAGGAAUAUUGGUCAAUGGACGAGAGUCUGAACCAGCCAAGUAGCGUGAAGGAUGACUGCCCUAUGGGUUGUAAACUUCUUUUAUAUGGGAAUAAAAUGUUCCACGUGUGGGAUUUUGUAUGUACCAUAUGAAUAAGGAUCGGCUAACUCCGUGCCAGCAGCCGCGGUAAUACGGAGGAUCCGAGCGUUAUCCGGAUUUAUUGGGUUUAAAGGGUGCGCAGGCGGAAGAUCAAGUCAGGGGUAAAAUUGAGAGGCUCAACCUCUGCGAGCCGUUGAAACUGGUUUUCUUGAGUGAGUGAGAAGUAUGCGGAAUGCGUGGUGUAGCGGUGAAAUGCAUAGAUAUCACGAAGAACUCCGAUUGCGAAGGCAGCUCACUGGACUGCAACUGACACUGAGGCUCGAAAGUGUGGGUAUCAAACAGGAUUAGAUACCCCGGUAC
rnacentral:rRNA from 1 species